rnacentral:rRNA from 1 species
GACGAACGCUGGCGGCGUGCCUAAUACAUGCAAGUCGAACGCAGUGGGGAUGGGGGAGUAACACGUGGGUAACCUCCCAUCAGAGGGGAGAACACUUGGAAACAGGUGCUAAACCGAUACUGAUGUAUGGACCCGCGGUGCAUUAGCUAGUUGGUGGGGUAACGGCUCACCAAGGCCACGAUGCAUAGCCGACCUGAGAGGGUGAUCGGCCACACUGGGACUGAGACACGGCCCAGACUCCUACGGGAGGCAGCAGUGGGGAAUCUUCGGCAAUGGGCGAAAGUCUGACCGAGCCACGCCGCGUGUGUGAAGAAGGUUUUCGGGUCGUAAAGCUCUGUUGUUGGAGAAGCGGUAUCUAACCAGAAAGCCACGGCUAACUACGUGCCAGCAGCCGCGGUAAUUC